CUACGGGAUGCUGCAGUGGGGAAUCUUAGACAAUGGGGGAAACCCUGAUCUAGCCAUGCCGCGUGAUCGAUGAAGGCCUUAGGGUUGUAAAGAUCUUUCAGCUGGGAAGAUAAUGACGGUACCAGCAGAAGAAGCCCCGGCUAACUCCGUGCCAGCAGCCGCGGUAAUACGGAGGGGGCUAGCGUUGUUCGGAAUUACUGGGCGUAAAGCGCACGUAGGCGGAUUGGAAAGUUGGGGGUGAAAUCCCGGGGCUCAACCGCGGAACUGCCUCCAAAACUAUCAGUCUAGAGUUCGAGAGAGGUGAGUGGAAUUCCGAGUGUAGAGGUGAAAUUCGUAGAUAUUCGGAGGAACACCAGUGGCGAAGGCGGCUCACUGGCUCGAUACUGACGCUGAGGUGCGAAAGCGUGGGGAGCAAACAGGAUUAGAUACCCCCGUAGUC
rnacentral:rRNA from 1 species